rnacentral:misc_RNA from 1 species
CUGGUUGGCGGCACGAUACGCUUACCUGGUCUCAGCUGUUCAGCGCAUCAGCUGAUUCGGUCGACGUUAUCGCUUAUCACCCCGCGUGGGUGACAGAUCACGGUGCCGGUUACCCUUCAAUGCGAGGUCCCCGGAACGGGACGACGCGUGACCGUUCAGUAUGUGGCUGAGGCUCAAGUGCGGAUCGGGUCAGUGUGUUUGCCACUCAAUGCGCGGCCAAGAAGGCACUCACUGCAUGCCAAGAUGGGAUCGAGUUUCUAGGUUAUGGCGCUCAGUAUGUGCACGAGGAAAUGCGGUUCAAUCCACCAAGAAGUACGGUCUGCUUACUACGCAGGCCGGAGAAGCUCUGAUAGCUUAUCGCUGGUGAAGGGCUUAUAUACCCUCCACCCGGUGGUCAGGGGAGUAGAGAAGAGCGGUGGGAGCCGCACGAGGUUAUUGUUGGACCACGCACAGAAAUUAUAGAUAUCGUUCCUGAAUGGCCAGGAAGCGAACAUAACAGUAGGAUCUUCCAAAAUUCUCGCAUAUAUAUGCGAUAAGCAAGGCGAACUAGAUGGAAUGUUUGUGGGAGAUGCUGGAUACCCCGCUUGACUCUUUUUACUUACGCCGAUUGGUAAUCCUAGAACGGAUGAAGAAAUAAGUUAUAAUACAAUUCAUGGAAGAACAAGAAGAAUUGUCGAAAGAACGUUUGGUAUAUGGAAACGUAGAUUUCCUUGUUUGUCAAAAGGACUUACUACAAAAUUAUUAACGUCUACAUCCAUUGUCGUGGCUUGUGCUGUUCUUCAUAAUCUAUUAUUGAUUUUCAACGAUAACUUAGAAGAUGAUGAUGAAAUAGUAAAUAUAAAUAAUGAUGUUCCGGUGGCCGAACCUCACUGGCAGCCUGGGGAUGGCAUUCUCAUACGAAAUGCUCUUAUCGAACGAUUGUUCAGAAUUUAAAGCUGAAGUUACAGACAAUAAAUAUUUACAGAAGAGACAUGCAAUGACAGUGAUAUGAAUGUAAGUCAAAUAAAGAAAAUACAUGGAUAACGAUGAUAUAAAUAAAGGAAAGAAAAAGAAAAAAUUAGAUAUGCAAAUAUGGUGAAAAGAAAUAAAAUUUAAUUGUAAAAAUAAAAUACACUUAUUAUACGUCAACAUAAAUUGUUUGAACAUAACAUAAUAUGUAUCCAGAUAAUCAAACCUGCAAAAGCAGAAUCCCACAGCAAAUCCAUAGCCUACUGUGUCCGCAUUAAGUUCGUGUUCUGUGGACAGAGACUGCAUUCGACUGAUCUGCUCCUUUUCUGCCGCCAAUAUGCUGUCAGAUUUUGUCCAGCAGAUUCUGUCUACAAAACACAAGCUUAAUGCGGACACAGUAGGCUAUAUGAAUCCGCUGUGUGGGAUUCUGCUUUUGCAGGUUUGGUUAUCUGGGUAAUUUUAUACUUACUUGAUAAUAAACUCGAAGAUACACAGUGUAGAUUAUUGAAGGAAUAUGCCUGCAAUUAAAUAAAUGUUAUACUUAUUAAUAAUA